rnacentral:rRNA from 1 species
UACGUAGGGGGCGAGCGUUGUCCGGAUUUACUGGGCGUAAAGGGCGCGUAGGCGGCCUUCUAAGUCGAACGUGAAAUCCCCGGGCUCAACCCGGGAACUGCGUCCGAUACUGGGAGGCUUGAAUCCGGGAGAGGGAUGUGGAAUUCCAGGUGUAGCGGUGAAAUGCGUAGAUAUCUGGAGGAACACCGGUGGCGAAGGCGGCAUCCUGGACCGGUAUUGACGCUGAGGCGCGAAAGCCAGGGGAGCAAACGGG